rnacentral:tRNA from 1 species
AUGGGAUGGCUGAUAAAAGCAUGGAACUGUAAAUUCUUAUAUAAACAAUUGUUUUCUCAUUAA